rnacentral:misc_RNA from 1 species
AAAAAGAAAAAGCUCAGCAUGGCAGAGUCACAAGCUUUGCCCAGUAGUGAGCACCAGUCCACCAUACCGAAAGCGCAGAGAAAGAGAGAAAUGGGAAUCACAGCCAAGUCCAAGGCCAAGAGCAACUACGAAAAUUGGGGCAUGGGAUUACUCUUCGUUUUCUUCCCUGAAGAUAACUCCGCCUCCGCCGCCGCCGCCGCCUCCACAACCACUUCCACCGCCAUUGUCGAUAAAGCUAGUCCCUCUUCAAGCCCCAGUAGUAGCAGCAAAACCAUCAAAAGAACCAACUCCAAUAGCCCCAUCCUCACAAAAGCUCAAUCCACCAUCUCUAUUUGUGCUCUUCUACUCUUCCUCACCCUCCUCCUCUUCACUCUCUCCACCUUCGAACCCACGAUCCCCAAUCCCACCACCACCAUUAAAACUCCUCGUAGAUUUCUCUCAGAUAACGCUCCUAACAAGUUCAUCAAGACGCACCAGGCAAAAUCCAAAUUUUCUUGGUUUUACAGCAUUUGGACAAGCCGAUAUCAACCUAGAAAUGGUCGUAAAAGAAGUGAAUUUCUCUCUUCUUUUGCUUUACAGGGAAUGGGCAAGCUCUAUAGCCGUGGAACCAGAGCCAUGAGUGAUCUUAUUGUUGGUCAUGUAGUGGAAGACACCAAUGAAGAUGAGUUCAGGCUUUUCUUGAGACUAUUGCAUAGGUCGGGUCUCACAGCCAGAGCUGAUUUAGUUUUCAUAUUCGGUUCUUCCUCAUCUGCAUCAAGAUUUGAAGCUUUGAUUCAAGAAGAGAACGACACGUUCUUGAAACUCGUUCGUCAAUACAUAGAAUUGAACAACACGAGUCAUGACUCAGUGUCGGUGCCCCCGUUGAGAUUUGACGUGACUCAGUUUGUGAAGCGUGGGAAGAAGGAACUGGGAGAGCCUCUAUGGGGUAAAAGAAUUCGGGUUAAUGGUUACAAUGACUCGGAAGAAAGUGAAGGUAAGUCGACUCAGUUCAGUUACGGGUCAGUACUAGGUUUUGAAGCGAGUGAGCUUGAUCCAGAGAACUCGCUUUCUGGGUUCUUAGACCAUGUACCAAUGAGUUUGAGAAGAUGGGCUUGUUAUCCAAUGUUGCUCGGUCGAGUUAGGAGAAAUUUUAAGCACAUGAUGUUAGUGGACGUGAAAAAGCUGGUAUUACUCAGUGAUCCACUCGGCCUAGUCAGGAAUCAGAGUCCAGAGUCAGUGUACAUAUCGACAAAACAACAAACUACCAGCUCAACAAAGCAUGGCAAAAGGAACAACAACUCAGACAAAACCCAGUCUCAAUCUCCAGUUAACUCGGCGAUUUUGAUGGGAGGAACUCAAGGAACUCGCCGGUUUUCAAAAGCAAUGCUAACCGAAAUCGUCCGAGCUGCCAUGCAACACAAGAAGAAGAACUCAAUAACCGAGUCUGCAAUUUUGGGUCAACUAGUGAGCAAUGUGCACAUAUUGAAGAACAUAAAUUUGAUAAAAUCUACCGAGUCAAUCACAGAAGCGAGUAAACUCAAUGAGUCAAACUCAUCAAGCAAGUGGGGUAAUUAUAGAAUAAUCCAAAGAGGUAAUGAUAAUUAUGAUCUUAAUUCAAUCAUUAUGAAGCACAUAUGUUCAUGGGAAGUAGAUUCUGGUGUCUAUAGAGACUGCUAGCAAGGAAAUCAGAAAAAAAUAAAAAUAAAGGAAAAUAGAAUUUGAGAGGAAAAAAAAAAGGGAAAUAGAGGAUUUGUUGUUUCUAUAAAUAGUUGUUUUUAUUUAUUUAAUUUUAUUUUUUUGGAAAAAAAGGGAAUAAUUAGUUUUGUUUUUUAAUUGUAAUUAGUGUUAUUAAUUAUAAAUAUAUAUAUAUAAUUAUUGGAAUGGGUAGAUCCCAAGUGAGAUCAGCAAAGUAAGUAGGUGACAACGAAAAUGGCCAAAAG